GACGAACGCUGGCGGCGCGCCUAACACAUGCAAGUCGAACGAGCGAGAGAGAGCUUGCUUUCUCGAGCGAGUGGCGAACGGGUGAGUAACGCGUGAGGAACCUGCCUCAAAGAGGGGGACAACAGUUGGAAACGACUGCUAAUACCGCAUAAGCCCACGACCCGGCAUCGGGUAGAGGGAAAAGGAGCAAUCCGCUUUGAGAUGGCCUCGCGUCCGAUUAGCUAGUUGGUGAGGUAACGGCCCACCAAGGCGACGAUCGGUAGCCGGACUGAGAGGUGGAACGGCCACAUUGGGACUGAGACACGGCCCAGACUCCUACGGGAGGCAGCAGUGGGGAAUAUUGCACAAUGGGGGAAACCCUGAUGCAGCGACGCCGCGUGGAGGAAGAAGGUCUUCGGAUUGUAAACUCCUGUUGUAGAGGAAGAUAAUGACGGUACUCAACAAGGAAGUGACGGCUAACUACGUG
rnacentral:rRNA from 1 species